UCAUUAACAGUGCGAGUGGGAGCGGACGGCCGCGGCGGGGCGGGAGAGGGGUGCGGCCUGUGGGUUCCUAGGUGGAGGUGAACUCUGAACAUGUGGCCAACUCUUCAUAUUCAUCAAUCAGCCGGAAGACAUCAAAACUUAAGCCGCGUCUUUUGUUUAAUCCGGAGAAAAAUUCAAACAAAUCGCUGCAGCGAGGGUCGCCGGCUCUGGCAGGUAUCCGAAACAAAUUGCCCUUAAUAAAAUACUCCUCCAAUUAACAAGCCUCCGAGGAAAACGGGAAAAAUAAUAAGAAUCACCUUCUUAGAUGGAAAGUGAUCUCCUCUUAAUUGCGGAGGGAGUCUCCGCGCCGGAGGUCUACGUUUCAAAUUGGCUGGAUUUUAUUUUGAUUGGAGAGUUUACAUAUAUUUCAUGCCGAGCUUUUUUGUCAUUGUCGGGUGGGACCUUUCGAACUGAACUUGAUGUUUUAAUAUUAUUAAAGUAUCAUGACAAGUA